UUUUUUCCUAUUCCUGUCUCUUUUAGAAGUGACUGCAUACAACUCUUUAUUUACGUAAAAUAUAGUUGGUGGAGGGGGAGAUGACAAUUUGAACAAAGUUCCUCCUCGYCUGGAUUGUCAACUGACUCUGCCUUUGGAUCUCACGUGAAUAAAACCCAGCUGGAAUCCAGUCCUGGUGAACAGGGAGUGAAACAGUGUGUCAUCAGAGCCAUAUUUGGUACAGAGCUCUAUGUUACUGCAGCUGUGCUUCUUCUGGAAGAAAAGGACAAAAAGAAGCAGAAUAGUAUUCAGAAGAGAAACUGAGGGAGAGAGAAAAUGAAGUUCCAUUUUCAAAAUGGCAAAAAUAAGAUGUAAGAAAUCCUUACGUUACACUAGUACAGACCUAUUAAUGACACUGGAACUAUUCAGAUGGAAGUUUUCAUCAAGAAAAUUGCAGCGGCAGUCACAGGUAAGUAAAACUGGGAUGAGUGACAUGCAAGAGACUGUGCRAAGUCU
rnacentral:lncRNA from 1 species